GACGAACGCUGGCGGCGUGCUUAACACAUGCAAGUCGAACGGAAGGGCCCUGCUUUUGUGGGGUGCUCGAGUGGCGAACGGGUGAGUAACACGUGAGUAACCUGCCCUUGACUUUGGGAUAACUUCAGGAAACUGGGGCUAAUACCGGAUAGGAGCUCCUGCUGCAUGGUGGGGGUUGGAAAGUUUCGGCGGUUGGGGAUGGACUCGCGGCUUAUCAGCUUGUUGGUGGGGUAGUGGCUUACCAAGGCUUUGACGGGUAGCCGGCCUGAGAGGGUGACCGGCCACAUGGGGACUGAGAUACGGCCCAGACUCCUACGGGAGGCAGCAGUGGGGAAUAUUGCACAAUGGGCGGAAGCCUGAUGCAGCAACGCCGCGUGCGGGAUGACGGCCUUCGGGUUGUAAACCGCUUUCGCCUGUGACGAAGCGUGAGUGACGGUAAUGGGUAAAGAAGCACCGGCUAACUACGUG
rnacentral:rRNA from 1 species